CCAGACUCCUACGGGAGGCAGCAGUGAGGAAUAUUGGUCAAUGGGCGCGAGCCUGAACCAGCCAAGUAGCGUGAAGGAUGACUGCCCUACGGGUUGUAAACUUCUUUUAUAAAGGAAUAAAGUGAGGCACGUGUGCCUUUUUGUAUGUACUUUAUGAAUAAGGAUCGGCUAACUCCGUGCCAGCAGCCGCGGUAAUACGGAGGAUGCGAGCGUUAUCCGGAUUUAUUGGGUUUAAAGGGUGCGCAGGCGGAGGUGCAAGUCAGCGGUCAAAUUGCGGGGCUCAACCCCGUACUGCCGUUGAAACUGCAUCCCUUGAGUGCGCGAGAAGUAUGCGGAAUGCGUGGUGUAGCGGUGAAAUGCAUAGAUAUCACGCAGAACUCCGAUUGCGAAGGCAGCAUACCGGCGCGCAACUGACGCUCAUGCACGAAAGCGUGGGUAUCGAACAGGAUUAGAUACCCCAGUA
rnacentral:rRNA from 1 species